rnacentral:rRNA from 1 species
AUUGAACGCUGGCGGCAGGCCUAACACAUGCAAGUCGAGCGAGCGGCGGACGGGUGAGUUAUGUCUGGGAAACUGCCCGCUGGAGGGGGCUAACUACUGGAACCGGUAGCUACUACCCCAUACCAUCAGAUGUGCCCAGAUGGGAUGAGCUAGUAGGUGGGGUAACGGCUCACCUAGGCGACGAUCCCUAGCUGGUCUGAGAGGAUGACCAGCCACACGGGAACUGAGACACGGUCCAGACUCCUACGGGAGGCAGCAGUGGGGAAUAUUGCACAAUGGGCGAAAGCCUGAUGCAGCCAUGCCGCGUGGGUGAAGAAGGCCUUCGGGUUGUAAAGCACGUUCAGCGGGGAGGCGGUACCCGCAGAAGAAGCACCGGCUAACUCCGUGCCAGCAGCCGCGGUAAUUC